rnacentral:rRNA from 1 species
UACGUAGGGUGCAAGCGUUAAUCGGAAUUACUGGGCGUAAAGCGUGCGCAGGCGGUUAUGUAAGACAGUUGUGAAAUCCCCGGGCUCAACCUGGGAACUGCAUCUGUGACUGCAUAGCUAGAGUACGGUAGAGGGGGAUGGAAUUCCGCGUGUAGCAGUGAAAUGCGUAGAGAUGUGGAGGGACACCGAUGGCGAAGGCAGCCCCCUGGGUCAAGAUUGACGCUCAUGCACGAAAGCGUGGGGAGCAAACAGG